rnacentral:tRNA from 1 species
GGAUAGCUCAGUUGGUAGUGCAACAGACUCUUAAUCUCAGGGUUAUGGGUUCAAGCCCCAUGUUGGGCA